UACGAAGGGGGCUAGCGUUGCUCGGAAUCACUGGGCGUAAAGGGUGCGUAGGCGGGUCUUUAAGUCAGGGGUGAAAUCCUGGAGCUCAACUCCAGAACUGCCUUUGAUACUGAGGAUCUUGAGUUCGGGAGAGGUGAGUGGAACUGCGAGUGUAGAGGUGAAAUUCGUAGAUAUUCGGAAAAACACCAGUGGCGAAGGCGACUUACUGGACACAUAUUGACGCUGAGGUGCGAAAGCGUGGGGAGCAAACAGG
rnacentral:rRNA from 1 species